GACGGGGCCGCACAAGCGGUGGAGCAUGUGGUUUAAUUCGACGCAACGCGAAGAACCUUACCAGGGCUUGACAUCCCCUGACCGCGUAUGAAAGUACGUUUUCACCCUCGGGUGACAGGGAGACAGGUGGUGCAUGGUUGUCGUCAGCUCGUGUCGUGAGAUGUUGGGUUAAGUCCCGCAACGAGCGCAACCCCUACGUUUAGUUGCUAACGCGUGAAGGCGAGCACUCUAGACGAACUGCCGUUGACAAAACGGAGGAAGGUGGGAUGACGUCAAAUCAUCAUGCCCCUUAUGUUCUGGGCUACACACGUGCUACAAUGGCCGGUACAGACGGACGCAAAGCCGCGAGGUGGAGCAAAUCCUAAAAAGCCGGUCUCAGUUCGGAUUGCAGGCUGCAAUUCGCCUGCAUGAAGUCGGAAUCGCUAGUAAUCGCAGGUCAGCAUACUGCGGUGAAUACGUUCCCGGGCCUU
rnacentral:rRNA from 1 species